rnacentral:rRNA from 1 species
GAUGAACGCUGGCGGCGUGCCUAAUACAUGCAAGUCGAGCGAACGGACGAGAAUCUUGCUUCUCUGAUGUUAGCGGCGGACGGGUGAGUAACACGUGGAUAACCUACCUAUAAGACUGGUAUAACUUCGGGAAACCGGAGCUAAUACCGGAUAAUAUUUUGAACCGCAUGGGUCAAAAGUAAAAUACGGUCUUGCUGUCACGUAUAGAGGGAUCCGCGCUGCAUUAGCUAGUUGGGAAGGUAACGGCUUACCAAGGCAACGAUGCAUAGCCGACCGGGGAGGGUGGUAGGCCACACGGGAACUGGGACAGCGUCCAGACUCCUACGGGAGGCACCAGUCGGCAACCUUACGCAAUAGGCGAGAGCAUGACGCAAUGAGCCCGCGCGAGUGAUGAAGGUCUUCGGAUCGUAAAAAUCUGUUAUUAGGGAAGAACAUAUGUGUAAGUAACUGUGCACAUAUUGACGGUAACUAAUCAGAAAGCCACGGCUAACUACGUG